UGUGAGAUCACUGAUCUAAGCCCAUUGGCUCGUUGUGGCAAGCCCAGCAGCUCAUGUUGCAUGCCCAUUAACUUCUGUAGCACGCCCACGAUAUGCCGCAGCCUCCAGUAGCACAGUAGUGCUAAGGUGCUAAUGCACGUUAGCUUGAGCAAAAAACGGACUUGGAAAGAAGUUUCAGCUCCUACUCUCUGUGGCAGCUAUGGAGAUUCUGAUGCUUCUGGAAGUUCACAACCACAACAUAGUACAUCACAGCAGAUUACACAGACAACAAGCUCCAGUAUCAAGUGGAGUGUACCAAGGUUCCAUGAUGAGGUUGAGUGGCAGACAGACUCCCCACAAGUCUCAGAGGCCACACAGACAUACAUACCUCCAAAGGGGUCAUCAGUCCACACACAGUUGGCCUGGGGUACACUAAGGGACAAGCAAAGCUUGUUGCUGUCUGUGAUGCAUAACAACGAACAUGCUGAACGUAAUAAAGCAACAACCUCUACAGGACAGCUGGUCUAUAAGGUGGCAUUCCUCAAAUCCUCAAAAAACAGACACAACAUACAGUGAGUUACAAAUUAUUUUAUUUUUUAAACCCAAAAGCGCAAUCUAUUUUUAAACCUUUAAAGUGAUAAAUACCUAUGUGAAUAUACCUUCAAAGUCUUUGUAAACGUUUCUAAAAAACAGAUGAGUGUGAA